rnacentral:rRNA from 1 species
GUGAGGGAUAUUGGUCAAUGGGGGGAACCCUGAACCAGCCAUGCCGCGUGAGGGAGUAAGGCCCUACGGGUCGUAAACCUCUUUUGCCGGGGGAUAAGGAUACCUACGUGUAGGUAUUUGAAGGUACCCGGAGAAUAAGCAUCGGCUAACUCCGUGCCAGCAGCCGCGGUAAUACGGAGGAUGCGAGCGUUAUCCGGAUUUAUUGGGUUUAAAGGGUGCGCAGGCGGGCGAUUAAGUCAGCGGUGAAAGGCUCGGGCUCAACCGGAGCAGUGCCGUUGAUACUGGUUGUCUUGAAUGCGGUCAAGGCCGGCGGAAUGUGGCGUGUAGCGGUGAAAUGCAUAGAUAUGCCACAGAACACCGAUAGCGAAGGCAGCUGGCCGGGCCUGCAUUGACGCUGAGGCACGAAAGCGUGGGGAUCGAACAGG